rnacentral:rRNA from 1 species
CCAGCAGCCGCGGUAAUACGUAGGUGGCAAGCGUUAUCCUGGAAUUUAUUGGGCGUAAAGCGCGCGCAGGCGGUCUCUUAAGUCUGAUGUGAAAGCCCACGGCUCAACCGUGGAGGGUCAUUGGAAACUGGGAGACUUGAGUGCAGGAGAGAAAAGUGGAAUUCCACGUGUAGCGGUGAAAUGCGUAGAGAUGUGGAGGAACACCAGUGGCGAAGGCGGCUUUUUGGCCUGUAACUGACGCUGAGGCGCGAAAGCGUGGGGAGCAAACAGGAUUAGAUACCCUGGUAGUCCACGCCGUAAACGAUGAGUGCUAGGUGUUGGGGGGUUCCACCCUCAGUGCUGAAGUUAACACAUUAAGCACUCCGCCUGGGGAGUACGACCGCAAGGUUGAAACUCAAAGGAAUUGACGGGGGCCCGCACAAGCAGUGGAGCAUGUGGUUUAAUUCGAAGCAACGCGAAGAACCUUACCAGGUCUUGACAUCCUCUGACCACUCUAGAGAUAGAGCUUUCCCCUUCGGGGGACAGAGUGACAGGUGGUGCAUGGUUGUCGUCAGCUCGUGUCGUGAGAUGUUGGGUUAAGUCCCGCAACGAGCGCAACCCUUGACCUUAGUUGCCAGCAUUCAGUUGGGCACUCUAAGGUGACUGCCGGUGACAAACCGGAGGAAGGUGGGGAUGACGUCAAAUCAUCAUGCCCCUUAUGACCUGGGCUACACACGUGCUACAAUGGGUGGUACAAAGGGUUGCGAAGCCGCGAGGCCAAGCCAAUCCCAAAAAGCCACUCUCAGUUCGGAUUGUAGGCUGCAACUCGCCUACAUGAAGCCGGAAUUGCUAGUAAUCGCGGAUCAGCAUGCCGCGGUGAAUACGUUCCCGGGCCUUGUACACACCGCCCGUCACACCACGAGAGUUUGUAACACCCGAAGUCGGUGGGGUAACCCUUUUGGGAGCCAGCCGCCGAAAGUGGGACAGAUGAUUGGGUGAAGUCGUACAAGGUAAC